UUUUACAACGUGUCACUCUUCUAUCUUCCCUCUUCAUGGUUCACUUCUCUCUUCACAAUUCAAAUUCUCUUUCUCUCUUCUGUCUCCUAAAACCCUAAAUUUCUGUACAAACCCUGCCGCCACUUUCAUCCACCAUUCUACCUAAAGUGUCAUUCCCUAUCACCGCACCGCUCUCGCAAAAUUCUCAGCUGCGAUUCUCACGCUAUCACCGCACUGCACUUGCAAAAUCCGUUGUUAUAAGGAUCAAUGAGGAAACAAAGAUUUGAUUUUUUCAGCAAACUAUCUUUUGCUCAAGGUUAUGUGGAUUUCAUUUUUGAACUAUCAUCGUUUCACUCUCUCUGAAUACGUAGUUCCAAGGAAAAACAAAGGGAAAGCUGGGAGGCUACCUCUCAGGCACUUAAAGUGAAGCUCCAAAUAGCUGAGAGCAAUUGUAUUUCAUGUGUUGUAAAUCAUUCAUUAUGUCGUAGUUUGGAUCUGGAUAAUCGUAAUUGCGUUUCAACCUACUGCUGUUUUUAUGUGUUAAGCAUAAAUGCUUCGCGGUCUUCAAGUAUUCUGUAUUUAAUAAUCUACUUUUCACUAUAUUUAUUGGCUUUUUCUUUGUUGAUUUGCUUCCAUGAUCUCUAUAUAAAAUAGAGGCUUCACUUGGAUGAAGAUCGUAUGGUUAAUUGAGUUAAUUUUCAAUUCCGCAACGACAACCAAAACCGUAACUGUAAGCUAUUUCUGCUCAUUUAUUCAGCCCUCUUUUUUAAUUUUGUUUUUGAUACAGGUACUUUGUAUGCUUACGGGGAUUUCUGCCAGAGAUCAAAUAGAGCAUCUUACUGCUCAAGCAUGGCUUUCAGAUGAUAAAUAAUUAGAACAAAAGGUUGGUAAAUAGUUCCUAUGCUAUCACUUUACUCAUUGUUUGCGUACAUCUCAGUAAUCGCGCUUGCCUUUUGUAUCCCUCCGACAAUACUUGUAAGUUCAUUUGCUACAACAACUAUUGUUUUUCUGUUAGUCUGUGAUUGAUUUUGUUACGGGUGCAUCUGAUUUGAGUGACCCCAACUCAUGGAAUUUGGAUUUAGAAAUGCUAUAGUCAAAGUAGGAUUGAUCAAGUUUUUGUCUGAUCUUUUAUGGAUUGGAAUGUUUUACCAUCUUUAUAAUCAGGUAUGCUUCUGUUUUAGUUAAGAGAUUAUUUCAAUUGUGCAUGUUGUGAAAUUUUCACUUUUUCUUUUGAUGUUGUUAUAAUUGCAGCUUGCUACUAAUACCUUGGAAAUGUGUUGACCAUGUCUCUUUACUACUAGAUGCAAUGAUCUUACAACUCCAUUUCAGAAAGCUGCUACAGCCCCUGCAUCUCAAUGGAAGCUUUUUCUUUCAUCAGCAAUAUUGGAUCAAGCUACAUUGGCAUAAAGUGCCUUUGAUGUAUCGACCGGGUCAAACUCCUGCUAGAAUGGCCAUGAUGCCGAUGCUUCUGGAUGAUGGACUCAUUGGAUGUCUUGUAAGUAGAACUGUAAAUGGCUGCCUGUGUAAGAAGAAGAGCCUUUAAUCGAGAAUUGUAUCAGGGUUUAGGAAUAUAGAAGAAUUAUAUCAGUAACUAUGAUGACAUUGCUAAUUAUGAUUAAAGAAUUGUAUGAAAAAAUAGUAGGCAGAAAUAUGAGCACAACUUUUCUGUCUGCUAGAGCUGCCUUUAGGAACCUUUAGGUUGGCACAAAUAUGUUAAACUUCAAUGCGUUGACCAUCAACUUCUCCUGGAAUUUUUUUAAUAGAUGAGGCAAGCUUGGUUAAA